GUCUCGGAUAGCUUAACUGGUAGAUCCCUUGGCGCAUAACCGAGAGAUCUGGGUUCGAUUCCCAGUCUGGGCU
rnacentral:tRNA from 1 species